AUGCAAAUCUCCUCCAGGACAAAACUCCAUCACCAAACACGAAAACUUAUCGGUCUCAAAAUGAGUGUCAACUCAGCCAAGUAAACACUACCAAUAUCACCACACCCUAAUCUGUUCAACAAUCUGAAAUGGGACAUACCCAACGCCCCGUCUCGCGCUUGAACCACUUGAAUAGCUUCCCAUCGCAUAUCAUUCGACUUAUGCGGCCUGUUGAUACUGCUACUAAAACUACUACAGCUGCUUUCAUCACUCACAUUGCUGCUUG
rnacentral:lncRNA from 1 species